rnacentral:rRNA from 1 species
AUUGAACGCUGGCGGCAGGCUUAACACAUGCAAGUCGAGCGGGGGGAGGUAGCUUGCUACCGGACCUAGCGGCGGACGGGUGAGUAAUGCUUAGGAAUCUGCCUAUUAGUGGGGGACAACAUCUCGAAAGGGAUGCUAAUACCGCAUACGUCCUACGGGAGAAAGCAGGGGAUCUUCGGACCUUGCGCUAAUAGAUGAGCCUAAGUCGGAUUAGCUAGUUGGUGGGGUAAAGGCCUACCAAGGCGACGAUCUGUAGCGGGUCUGAGAGGAUGAUCCGCCACACUGGGACUGAGACACGGCCCAGACUCCUACGGGAGGCAGCAGUGGGGAAUAUUGGACAAUGGGGGGAACCCUGAUCCAGCCAUGCCGCGUGUGCGAAGAAGGCCUUAUGGUUGUAAAGCACUUUAAGCGAGGAGGAGGCUACUUUAGUUAAUACCUAGAGAUAGUGGACGUUACUCGCAGAAUAAGCACCGGCUAACUCUGUGCCAGCAGCCGUGGUAA